rnacentral:lncRNA from 1 species
CGCAUAACAAUCCAAACCAGUAGAAUAAUAUUAGGAUGUAACACUUAAUUCUGCUAUGGAAUUACUAUUAUCAACAAAUAAUCAAUCAUAUGUAGCUUCAAAUUUGCAAACAUUUUCCAACAACAAAACAAGAUGCGUUCAAAUCAGUCCAAAAUAGAACAGAAAUCCGACAAGUUCAUCAAUAAUAAUUUGUGUAAAUUGUUACAUGAAAGUUUCAGUAACUUCCCAUUGAAUCAUGUAAUCAAAUUUCAUUACAAAAUCAUAUUUCAAUUCUAGGUUUCACAAAUGGACAUGGAAUUCACAUAAGUCUAACACCCAAACAUCAUACAAGACAAACCAGGAGCUCGACAUAAAACAACAACCGAACCAGGGAAUGGGAACUCGACGAAUUCAAAUUCGAUUGAAACAAUCCUCGAACCAGCAACCAAGAGCAGCAGAAUUGUUCUGUUCUUCUUUGUUUUGUCCUUGUGUGACUAUGUGCUUUUGUUCAAUGACUGGAAUUUUAGAGUUAAAGAGUGGUCGUGUAUGAAGAAACAUGGGUCAUUGGUUUGGGUCGAUGGCUAUGGCGGAAUUCCGACGAACUUGGAUUAAAGAGGUGCUCGUGGGUGUUGGUUUCCGGGGAUCAAUGAAUAGAGCAGGGGCGUUUGGAGAAGACGACGCUAGGGGAAGUUCCGAAGGAGGUUUCUGUCUUUAGAGGAAGAAAAUAGCCAUUGCUUCUGCUCUUGGAGUCCAGAAGAAAAAGCUCGUGGUACUGUUGCGGCUCUCUCCUCGUUAGCUCCCCCCUUUUUCAGAUUUUCUAGCAUUAUUUUAUAGUUAGAGUGUAGGACUAGGGUUUAUUGGUGUUU